rnacentral:rRNA from 1 species
AAUAGAUACCCCCGGUAGUCCACGCCGUAAACGGUGGGUGCUAGGUGUGGGGGACUUCCACGUUCUCCGUGCCGCAGCUAACGCAUUAAAGCACCCCGCCUGGGGAGUACGGCCGCAAGGCUAAAACUCAAAGGAAUUGACGGGGGGCCCGCACAAGCGGCGGAGCAUGUGGAUUAAUUCGAUGCAACGCGAAGAACCUUACCUGGGCUUGACAUGCACCGGAAACCUGCAGAGAUGUGGGCCUCUUCGGACUGGUGUACAGGUGGUGCAUGGCUGUCGUCAGCUCGUGUCGUGAGAUGUUGGGUUAAGUCCCGCAACGAGCGCAACCCUCGUUCCAUGUUGCCAGCGCGUUAUGGCGGGGACUCAUGGGAGACUGCCGGGGUCAACUCGGAGGAAGGUGGGGAUGACGUCAAGUCAUCAUGCCCCUUAUGUCCAGGGCUUCGACACGAUGCUACAAUGGCCGGUACAGAGGGCUGCUAAGCCGUGAGGUGGAGCGAAUCCACAAAGCCGGUCUCAGUUCGGAUCGGGGUCUGC